CGGAGGUUGCGUGUGGUGCGGGACAGUGUGCGGCGACGCGUCAAUUGGUGACUAAUCGCUUGUUAACUUGUUACACCGCAGGUGGUUUGUUGUGAGCGGCGUUCACUUGUAACUGAUUGUUUAUUAGUGUGUUAACUUAGUGUUUAGGUGUAAGGUGGUGGGUGUAUUGUGAGUGACGCGUCAACUACUGACUAAUUGCUUGUUAACUUAACGUGACUAGUGUCUAGCCCUAUGCGAUGUGUGGUUUGUGAGCGGUGCGGCGUUCGCUUGUGACCGACUGCUUGUUAGCGUGCGGUAACUAUAAAUCAGUGUCUUGCUGUGGAUGGUGCUGGCUGAGGGGCGGGGCAACUAGUGAUUCAUCGCUUGGGAACUUAGCGUACGAUAACUUGAUCAGUGUCUAGCCUCAGACCGGAAAAAUGUGAACCCCAUAACUACCCGUCAUGUGCAUGAUGGGUAGUCCAGGGCCCCUCUCACCCACAGGAGGCCUGAGUCAGCCUAAGCCAUGGCUGCGUCAGCAAGAAGACCCUGCUGGCUGAUUUAUCCUUCCUGACAAGGGCAGUAACGUUUAACAACAGUGAUAAGAGUUGAACCUGACCGGAGCUCGAACGCAAAAUCACAGAAUAGCAGCCGUGUGAACUUCCACGGCUGGUUAAGCUGCUUUCGUCUGUUUGGUGAGUACCCCUGUGCAGCUCAUCGCCAUCGAGGGACAGAUUGGAGCACCUCUCUAGCAAGUUAAGUAAAGCUACAGUCUCUUAGGGCGUUAGGCGAUAGGAGAAUAGGCUGCUAACCUUGCUUCCCUUCCAGGUACACUCAUCAUUCUGACUUUUUCCAGAGUACAGCCCUAGAGUGUACCUUGCUGGCGGCCACUAGUUGUAACUAAUUGUUGUGUUGGGGAAGCAGUGCUGGGGCUGGUGGAGUGCUGCAUUCAUCUGGUGGUACGUGGGAGUUGAAAUAGUGAUACUCCAGACGUAUCAACCGAGGUGGUGCGCGUACACGAGUUCUAGAGACUGAAGGGAGAUGAAAAAGAGAAUGUGUGGGAGGAAAGACGUGGACUGAUGGUAGAGAAAGGGAAGGAACUGAGGAAGACGAGGGAAACUUGAAAAAGAGAACGUGUGGGAGGAAAGAUGUGGACUGAUGGUAGAGAAAGGGAAGGAACUGAGGAAGACGAGGGAAACUUGGAUAGAAACAGAGUGAAUAGAGAAGAAAUAAGAAAUGAAGACGUAGCAAAGGUGUUGGAUCAGAACAGCCAAGAGACGCAGUAAAUAGAAGAUAGAGAACAAUAAAGACAAGACGCUCUGAUGAUGGCAGCCAUUUUCAAAGGUCAUGAUGGUGGAGAUGACACGCUGCUAGUGACGAUGAAGAUGACGCGAGGCUGAUGAUGAGUGUGCACCAAAUAUUAUCUUGUGUUCUCGUGAUUCAAUGUUGUCGGUGUUUGAAAAUACAUCGAUGUAUUUAUUUUCGGAGUUUUUUUAGUAACCGUGUGUGUGUGUGUGUGUGUGUGUGUGUGUGUGUGUGUGUGUGUGUGUGUGUGUGUUCUGUCUGUUUGCCUGCCUCUGUCACUGUCUGUCUGUCUGUCUCUGUUUGUAUCAGUCUAGUUGUUCUAGUCUGUGGCACUCCUACUGUGGCGUACAAAUGAGAAGGGUGGAAGGAGACGCUAAACUGAAUACGGAAUAUCCUUAGUGUACCGGGUGUCCGUGAGCAGGAUGGUAAGUGAUUGAAAACAGUAAAAGUGAAUGUAAAAUAAAGAAAAUAAUCUAAGUAGUCUUGAGAUAGACACGUAUACUCGUGAUAGGAAGCAUGAUUGACUAUCACAUUGCGGAGACAAAUAGAAUCGUCCCCUAUACGUGAUGGACAAUGUCACUUUACGGAGACUAACAAAAUCAUUUAUAGAAAGUUAUGUUCAAGAUGUGUGUUAACCGAGUGUUGAAAAACAUGGCAGACUCAAUUUACGGAACUUGUAGAACAAUUUAUAGAAGAAAGUUUAGAGUUAGAAGUAAUACCCGUGUGCUGGAAAGCGUGAUGGACUCUUUCACUAUAAGGGAACUAAUGGAAUCUUUUACACGUAAAAAGAAAAUUAUAGAUCGGAGAAGUGUCGCCCGGGUGUUGGAAAACGUGACGGGCUCCUUGAGUGUUAAAUGACAGAUUGGGGACAAGUUCAGUAAAGUGACAGGUAUGCGUGUAGCGGUUACCAGACUUAAUGGUGAGUAUACAAGUGAGCGAACUUCGGAAUAUUCUGGGAUCCAUCAUAUUCUGCUACACACGGACAACUCUUAUCUAACUUUAUUCUAUAAAAGAUUCUAUCAGACUCCCUCUGUAAUCUCUCACGAGUGGAAACUAGUUAAUGAAAUGGCAAUUGUCAUAUGUAGUGGCUAACUGACUUCUUGGUGAGCAUCUGUGUUCACGACCUGGGAGACGUAUCGGUGUGGCUGGUAGUGUCUGGCCUUCUGAAAUAGCCACUCGUGCACGGGAACACAAACAUAUUCUCGGAACAUUAAAGAUCUGCAGCGUUUGUCAGUAUAAGAAGACCACCGUUAUGAACCUCAGACCACUGCGUUAGGAGACUUGCAACCUUCCCUUAUUUAGCAAAAGAUUAUACUCUCACGGCGCAACACUUCAUUACUCGAACGUAUUGUUAAGCACGUUUAUUUGCAAGCUGCUGUUGGAGUAAGAAUGACUCUCUCUCGAUGAAAUGUACAGCCCACUCCACAUGUGCUGAUGCAGUUGAUGGCUUGAUGUCUCAAAUGUCAUAAUCCCUUUGUCAUCUCAUCAUGUUCUGUCUCCUCUUGAGUCACCCACUAGACAUCUAAGUCAUGUGCAAGUGUUUCCCAAGGAUUCGAGUGUUUCGAGAAGGCUGAACCAAGAAGGGCACGUUGCCAGAUGUAUAAUGUUUCUCUAUUUCAGUACUUGCUCUGUAUCCUCCACCACUUAACCAUUAUGAUUCAGUGUUCCUCCACUCCGGCCCUCACGUCAAUUGAAAAGCAUCUGUCACCCCACUCUUUAAUCCAGGAUACAGCUCACUCAAUGUUGAAAACUAUAUCAGUCUAAUGUUGUUGGUUUCCAUCGAAUUUGUGAGUCAAGUAAUGGGUAAGCGCACCAGAUGACAGGGGCUACGCUGCUGUACCUCAUUAGCUUUCUGACGACACCCUUCACGAAAAGACCUGGACACUUAUCGAUAAGUUCCAAAACCUUGGAAUGCUCUCAACAGGAUCUAGUGAAAAUUAUUGAGAUUUUCAGUGAUGUUUUCAUGGUUCUAGUGAUAGUUUAACACGUGUUCUGCAGCCUCACUAGUACAAACCUCCAUGUGAACCCGAUUAAUGAUAGCCUUUGAAAAUUCCUACUGUGAGAGUCCAAAGUGUUUUACAAUACAGAUCCUGCUGCUGCCCUGCCACUCAGGCCAUAUGAUAGCGUGGGCGGGAGAGGUUGAUCGCUACUACCAAGAAUGAUGUUUGGAGACACGAGUGGCUUUACGUAAGAGAGUGACGGCACCAAGCAUUACUCGCUGUGUUUGAGGCACCAGCCACGCCCGGGGAGCGAAACAGACUCGCACAGAAGCAACAUCCUCGUCUACUUGUCUCGCAGGCGGCCUGUCUUCACCUCCAAGACGGGACGCAGGUGCUCAGUGAUGCAAGUGUAAGACCCCUGUGUGGGAAUCUGCGCCUUUUUCACCAGUAGCAAGACACUUCGCAAUGUAACUUCUUCAGGAACAGACACCUUCAUUGUGCCUGUUUUUUUUUUUUUUUUUCCUUCCUCAGU